GUUUGUCCGUUUGGAGCCCCGCUCCCUCUGUACGGGGGAGCCGUUUUCUUCUUUCUUUCUUCUUUCUUGCCUAUUAAACUUUCCGCCCCUUAAAACAACUCCACGUGUGCCCGUGUCGUUUAUCUAAUCAGCGAGAGAGAAAGAACCCUGGUGUUUCUCCAGUCAUGGGAGCUGUAUCACUAGGAUUGCAGGCAUGAGCCACCACGCCUAGUCUGGUCUCAAACUCUUAGCUUCAAGGGAUCUUCCUGCUUCUGCCUCCCAAAGAGCUGGGAUUACAGGUAUGAACCACUGUGCCUGGCCCUAUACCACAUUUUCUCUACCCAUUCAUCUGCUGUUGGACAUGUAGGUCGAUUCACUAUCUUGGCUAUUGUGAAUAGUGCUGCAAUAAACAUGAGAGUGAAGACGUCUCUUCCAUACUGAUUUCCUUUCCUUUGGAUAAAUGCUCAGCAGUGAAACUGCUGGAUCAUAUGGUAGUUCUGCUUGUAGUUUUCUGUGGUACCUGUGAAAGGAAAAUAAAUUUGCUGCCCCAAAAUCACUAAGCUAAAGGGAAAAGUCACGCUGGGAACUGCGUAGAGUAAAGCUGCCUCCCAUUCUAUUCAAAGUCAUCCCUCUGCUCACUGAGAUAAAUGCAUAUGUGAUUGCCUCCUUUGGAGAGGCUAAUCAGAAACUCAAAAGAAUUGCAAUCAUUUGUGUCUUGUCUACCUAUGAGCUGGAAGCUCCCUCCCCACUUCGAGUUGUCUCACCUUUCCAGACAGAACCAAUGUUCAUCUUACAUAUGUUGAUUGAUGUCUCUUAUCUCCCUAAAAUGUGUAAAACCGAGCUGUGCUCUGACCACCUUGGGCACAUGUGAUCAGGACCUCCUGAGGCUGUGUCACAGGUGCACAUCCUCAACAUUAGCAAAAUAAACUUUCUAAAUAAACUGAGAGCUGUCUCAGAUAUUUGAGGUUCACAUACCUACAUACUGUUCUGCAUAGUGGCUGUACUAGUGUACAUUCCCACCAAUAGUGUGUAUGAGUUCCUUUUCCUCCACAUCCCUGUCAGCAUUUAUUUUUUGCCUUUUUGAUAAUAGGCAUCCUAUUAUCAAAAUGUGCAAUUCCCUGAUGAUUAGUGAUGGUGAGCAUUUUCUUCAUAUAAUUCUUGGCCAUUUGUAUGUCUUCUUUUGAGAAAUGUCUGUUUAGGUCAUUAGCCGUUUUUUUUGUUUGUUUGUUUGUUUGUGUGUGUGUGUUUUUUUUUUUGAGACAAAAGUCUCACUCUGUCUAAUCUCAUGCCUUCUGACCUAAGUUGUGAUAAGAGAAAUGUAAACCGAGAUCAUACCUGUC
rnacentral:lncRNA from 1 species